GAGGGUAUAGCUCAGAGGGAGAGCAUGUGCUUAGCAUGCACAAGGUCCUGGGUUCAAUCCCCAGCACCUCCA
rnacentral:tRNA from 1 species